AGUACAAUAGCGGAGUGGUUAACGCGUUGGCCUGCUACGGAUCUUAUCAUCCAAGUCAGCCAAUUCCUUCGGGAGCGUGUGUUCGAAUCACACAGGUGUCG